CUAGCGAGCCCAACCUCCCACCCGUGUUUACUGUACCUUAGUUGCUUCGGCGGGCCCGCCAUUCAUGGCCGCCGGGGGCUCUCAGCCCCGGGCCCGCGCCCGCCGGAGACACCACGAACUCUGUCUGAUCUAGUGAAGUCUGAGUUGAUUGUAUCGCAAUCAGUUAAAACUUUCAACAAUGGAUCUCUUGGUUCCGGCAUCGAUGAAGAACGCAGCGAAAUGCGAUAACUAGUGUGAAUUGCAGAAUUCCGUGAAUCAUCGAGUCUUUGAACGCACAUUGCGCCCCCUGGUAUUCCGGGGGGCAUGCCUGUCCGAGCGUCAUUGCUGCCCAUCAAGCACGGCUUGUGUGUUGGGUCGUCGUCCCCUCUCCGGGGGGGACGGGCCCCAAAGGCAGCGGCGGCACCGCGUCCGAUCCUCGAGCGUAUGGGGCUUUGUCACCCGCUCUGUAGGCCCGGCCGGCGCUUGCCGAACGCAAAUCAAUCUUUUUCCAGGUUGACCUCGGAUCAGGUAGGGAUACCCGCUGAACUUAAGCAUAUCAAUAAGCGGAGGAA
rnacentral:rRNA from 1 species